CCUACGGGAGGCAGCAGUGAGGAAUAUUGGUCAAUGGUCGGGAGACUGAACCAGCCAAGUCGCGUGAAGGAUGAAGGUACUGAGUGUUGUAAACCUCUUUUGUCAGGGAAUAAAAUCUUGGACGCGUCGGCGGUUGUGUGUACCUUAUGAAAAAGCAUCGGCUAACUCCGUGCCAGCAGCCGCGGUAAUAUGGAGGAUCCGAGCGUUAUCCGGAUUUAUUGGGUUUAAAGGGUGCGCAGGUGGAUUGUUAAGUCAGUUGUGAAAGGUUGCGGCUCAACCGUAAAAUUGCAGUUGAACCUGGCAGUCUCGAGUACAGUAGAGGUGGGCGGAAUGCGUGGUGUAGCGGUGAAAUGCUUAGAUAUCACGAAGAACUCCGAUUGCGAAGGCAGCUCGCUGGA
rnacentral:rRNA from 1 species